AAAAUCGUUGUUUAUGAACGGUAAACUGACCUCCGUAAUAUUGUAUUCUUUGGAUUUUACAAUAGGUGUUUUUACUCCAGAACCAAAAUCGAGUAAGCGAGUUCUGUGUGGUUUUCGUAAGCGUGUUUUAAUCAUACCGUACGGCGCUUUUAUGGUGGAAACGAAUGCACGUGUAUCGUCCUCUUAAUAAUAUACAGUAGUGCGAAUAAACGCGAACGCGAUAUUCCUCGAUUACUGUUUUGCACAGCAGUGUUUUAUGAAUUCGACAUAAAUAACGUUGUUUUAACCCUUAAAUGUCAUAUUAUCUAUCGCGCGAACCCGCGAAAGUUUGGGCGAUUUUAUUCCGUAUACGGAUCGCACGGGUAUUAAUAAAGAUCAAAUUUCGGUUGACCGGAAAUGUACUUCAAAUCAGGUCCGCGUAGCCAGAUUUGGACCCAGCCCCCUCCCCGAGAAAUUUCAGCUUUGCACCAAAGACGGCGCUUAUUUUACCCAUUACGUUAUGAUAUUUUCUAUCCCCAAACAAUAGGCUUGUGAUAAAUUUUAUGUCUGUACAUCUCCCCCGAAAAAAAAGUAUAUCCCGACUACGUGCUCGGUAGACGAAAAGAGACAUAUCGAGAAUACG